rnacentral:rRNA from 1 species
UCGAGGGGUAACAGAGAAGCUUGCUUCUGCUGACGACCGGCGCACGGGUGCGUAACGCGUAUGCAACCUACCUCAUACAGGAGAAUAGCCCUUGGAAACGAGGAUUAAUACUCCAUGGUAUCAUUUUUUCGCAUGUUAGAAUGAUUAAAGAAUUUCGGUAUGAGAUGGGCAUGCGUCCCAUUAGCUAGUUGGUGAGGUAACGGCUCACCAAGGCGACGAUGGGUAGGGGGCCUGAGAGGGUGGUCCCCCACACUGGUACUGAGACACGGACCAGACUCCUACGGGAGGCAGCAGUGAGGAAUAUUGGUCAAUGGAGGCAACUCUGAACCAGCCAUGCCGCGUGAAGGAUGACGGCCCUAUGGGUUGUAAACUUCUUUUAUAUGGGAAGAAACUUAUCUACGUGUAGAUAACUGACGGUACCAUACGAAUAAGGAUCGG